CCUACGGGUGGCAGCAGUGAGGAAUAUUGGUCAAUGGUCGGGAGCCUGAACCAGCCAAGUCGCGUGAGGGAUGACGGCCCUAUGGGUUGUAAACCUCUUUUGCCGGGGAGCAAAGUGCCGCACGUGUGCGCUUUGGAGAGUACCCUGAGAACAAGCAUCGGCUAACUCCGUGCCAGCAGCCGCGGUAAUACGGAGGAUGCGAGCGUUAUCCGGAUUUAUUGGGUUUAAAGGGUGCGUAGGCGGACGCUUAAGUCAGCGGUAAAAGUGCGGGGCUCAACCUCGUCGAGGCGUUGAAACUGGGGGCCUUGAGUGGGAGAGAAGUACGCGGAAUGCGUGGUGUAGCGGUGAAAUGCAUAGAUAUCACGCAGAACUCCGAUUGCGAAGGCAGCGUACCGGCGCCAAACUGACGCUGAAGCACGAAGGCGUGGGUAUCGAACAGGAUUAGAUACCCUAGUAGUC
rnacentral:rRNA from 1 species